rnacentral:rRNA from 1 species
AACGAACGCUGGCGGCAUGCCUAACACAUGCAAGUCGAACGAGACCUUCGGGUCUAGUGGCGCACGGGUGCGUAACGCGUGGGAACCUGCCCUUAUGUUCGGAAUAACUCUCCGAAAGGGGUGCUAAUACCGGAUAAUGUCUUCGGACCAAAGAUUUAUCGCCUUUGGAUGUGCCCGCGUUGGAUUAGCUAGUUGGUAGGGUAAUAGCCUACCAAGGCGACGAUCCAUAGCUGGUCUGAGAGGAUGAUCAGCCACACUGGGACUGAGACACGGCCCAGACUCCUACGGGAGGCAGCAGUGGGGAAUAUUGGACAAUGGGCGGAAGCCUGAUCCAGCAAUGCCGCGUGAGUGAUGAAGGCCUUAGGGUUGUAAAGCUCUUUUACCCGGGAUGAUAAUGACGGUACCGGGAGAAUAAGCCCCGGCUAACUCCGUG